rnacentral:rRNA from 1 species
AUUGAACGCUGGCGGCAUGCCUUACACAUGCAAGUCGAACGACGCCAGGGGGCAACUCCUGGCGAGUGGUGAACGGGUGAGCCAUGCAUCGGAACGUGUCCUCUUGUGGGGGAUAACCAGUCGAAAGACUGGCUAAUACCGCAUGAGAUCGCGUGAUGAAAGCGGGGGAUCCGCACGGACCUCGCGCGAUAGGAGCGGCCGAUGUACGAUUAGCUAGUGGGCGAGGUAACUGCUCACCAAGGCGACGAUCGGUAGCUGGUCUGAGAGGACGACAGGCCACGCUGGGAGUGGGCACCGGCCCAGACUCCUACGGGAGGCAGCAGUGGGGAAUUUUGGACAAUGGGGGCAAGCCGGAGUCAGACAUGCCGGGUGUGGGAAGAAGGCCUUCGGGUUGUAAAGCACUUUCGGACGGAACGAAAUCGCGCGGGUGAACAAUCCGCGUGGAUGACGGUACCGUAAGAAGAAGCACCGGCUAACUACGUGCCAGCCGCCGCUGUAAAAC